rnacentral:lncRNA from 1 species
AAGUUUGCCACUCCAAUGAAUUAAGGUAUAAAUAUGACUUUAUAGCCAAAAUUCAUUUAGGGUUUCUUUUAGGAAAUUGGAGAGAACACAAAGCUCUCCUUUCUCUCUAAGGUGGCCGGCCCCCUUAGAGGGAUUAGCUAGCAAUCCUACUACUCCAAGGUCACUCAUUUCUACUUAAAUCUAACCUUGGUGUGGAGACUUAGAGGUUCUCUAUUUUGAGAACUUGGAGAACCAUUUCAUCCAUCCAAAUCCAUAGAUCUAAGAUGCAAGGAAUGAAGGCCCUCUCUUUGG